rnacentral:rRNA from 1 species
CCCGCUGAACUUAAGCAUAUCAAUAAGCGGAGGAUAAGAAACCAACAGGGAUUGCCUCAGUAACGGCGAGUGAAGCGGCCACAGCUCAUAUUUGAAAUCUGGCCUCGCGGCCCGAGUUGUAAUUUGUAGAGAGAUGCGUCGAGCAUGGUCUUAUCUCAGUCUACAGGAACAGGACGUCAUAGAGGGUGAGAAUCCCGUAUGCGGCCAGGUGCCUACGCUCAUGUGAAGCUCCUUCGACGAGUCGAGUUGUUUGGGAAUGCAGCUCAAAAUGGGUGGUAAAUUUCAUCUAAAGCUAAAUAUUGGCCAGAGACCGAUAGCGCACAAGUAGAGUGAUCGAAAGAUGAAAAGCACUUUGGAAAGAGAGUUAAACAGUACGUGAAAUUGUUGAAAGGGAAGCGCUUGCAACCAGACUUGCGCGCGGCCGAUCAUCCGGUGUUCUCACCGGUGCACUCGGUCGUGCUCAGGCCAGCAUCGGUUUCGGUGGUUGGAUAAAGGCCCUAGGAAUGUAGCUUCUCUCGGGGAGUGUUAUAGCCUAGGGUGCAAUGCAGCCUACCGGGACCGAGGACCGCGCUUCGGCUAGGAUGCUGGCGUAAUGGUUGUAAGCGACCCGUCUUGAAACACGG